UACGGAGGGGGCGAGCGUUGUUCGGAAUCACUGGGUGUAAAGGGUGCGUAGGCGGUCCGUUAAGUCUGAUGUGAAAUCCCUGGGCUCAACUCAGGAACUGCAUUGGAAACUGGCAGGCUGGAGUACCGGAGAGGGAAGCGGAAUUCCUGGUGUAGCGGUGAAAUGCGCAGAUAUCAGGAGGAACACCGGUGGCGAAGGCGGGUCUCUGGGCAACUACUGACGCUGAGGAGCGAAAGCGUGGGGAGCGAACAGG
rnacentral:rRNA from 1 species